CGGAUUGUAGUCUGCAACCCGGCUACAUGAAGCUGGAAUCGCUAGUAAUCGCGAAUCAGAAUGUCGCGGUGAAUACGUUCCCGGGUCUUGUACACACCGCCCGUCACACCAUGGGAGUCGGAAAUGCCCGAAGUCAGUGACCUAACCGAAAGGAAGGAGCUGCCGAAGGUGGAGCCGGUAACUGGGGUGAAGUCGUAACAAGGUAUC
rnacentral:rRNA from 1 species